GGCGAACGCUGGCGGCAGGCCUAAAACAUGCAAGUCGAACGGAUCCUUCGGGAUUAGUGGCGGACGGGUGAGUAACACGUGGGAACGUGCCUUUUGGUUCGGAACAACUCAGGGGAAACUUGAGCUAAUACCGAAUGUGCCCUUCGGGGGAAAGAUUUAUCGCCAUUAGAGCGGCCCGCGUCUGAUUAGCUUGUUGGUGAGGUAAAGGCUCACCAAGGCGACGAUCAGUAGCUGGUCUGAGAGGAUGAUCAGCCACACUGGGACUGAGACACGGCCCAGACUCCUACGGGAGGCAGCAGUUAGGAAUCUUGCGCAAUGGGGGAAACCCUGACGCAGCCAUGCCGCGUGAAUGAUGAAGGUCUUAGGAUUGUAAAAUUCUUUCAGCGGGGACGAUAAUGACGGUACCCGCAGAAGAAGCCCCGGCUAAACUUCGUGCCAGCAGCCGCGGU
rnacentral:rRNA from 1 species